rnacentral:rRNA from 1 species
AGUGAACGCUGGCGGUAGGCCUAACACAUGCAAGUCGAACGGCAGCACAGUAAGAGCUUGCUCUUACGGGUGGCGAGUGGCGGACGGGUGAGGAAUACAUCGGAAUCUACUUUUUCGUGGGGGAUAACGUAGGGAAACUUACGCUAAUACCGCAUACGACCUACGGGUAAAAGCAGGGGAUCUUCGGACCUUGCGCGAUUGAAUGAGCCGAUGACGGAUUAGUUGGUUGGCGGGGUAAAGGCCCACCAAGGCGACGAUCCGUAGCUGGUCUGAGAGAACGGUCAGCCACACGAGAGGUGGAACACGGUCCAGACUACUACGGGAGGCAGCAGUGGGGAAUAUUGGACAGUGGGCGCGAGCCUGAUCCAGCCAGACCGCGUGGGUGGAGGAGGCCUUCGGGUUGUAAAGCCCUUUUGUGGGGAGAGAAAAGCAGCAGGUUGAUACCCCGCUGUUCUGACGGUACCCAAAGAAUAAGCACCGGCUAACUUCGUG